rnacentral:rRNA from 1 species
UACGAAGGGGGCUAGCGUUGCUCGGAAUUACUGGGCGUAAAGGGAGCGUAGGCGGAUAGUUUAGUCAGAGGUGAAAGCCCAGGGCUCAACCUUGGAAUUGCCUUUGAUACUGGCUAUCUUGAGUACGGAAGAGGUAUGUGGAACUCCGAGUGUAGAGGUGAAAUUCGUAGAUAUUCGGAAGAACACCAGUGGCGAAGGCGACAUACUGGUCCGUUACUGACGCUGAGGCUCGAAAGCGUGGGGAGC